rnacentral:rRNA from 1 species
CCUACGGUGGACAGCAGUGAGGAAUAUUGGUCAAUGGCCGGAAGGCUGAACCAGCCAAGCCGCGUGAAGGACGAAGGUGCCAAGCAUUGUAAACUUCUUUUGUCAAGGGACAAAAUCAGGCUCGAGAGCCUGACCGAGGGUACUUGAAGAAAAAGCAUCGGCUAACUCCGUGCCAGCAGCCGCGGUAAUCCGGAGGAUGCGAGCGUUAUCCGGUUUUAGUGGGUUUAAAGGUUGCGUAGGGGGGCUGGUAAGUCAGCGGUAAAAGCCCGGGGCUCAACCUCGGCGAGCCGUUGAAACUGGCUGUCUUGAGAUGUCGAGAGGUAUGCGGAAUGCGCAGUGUAGCGGUGAAAUGCUUAGAUAUUGCGCAGAACUCCGAUUGCGAAGGCAGCAUACCGGCGGCGAUCUGACGCUGAGGCACGAAAGCGUGGGUAUCGAACAGGAUUAGAUACCCGGGUAGUC